rnacentral:lncRNA from 1 species
GAUUUUCACCCCAGUUUGAGCUGAAGACCAGUUUCCUGCUUUCAGUCUUCCUCUGCUGGACCUCCAUUCUGACUUUCAGAACUGAUUUUUGCCCUUAUUAAUACCUUGCAUUCAUUAAGGACAAAGCUGGAUCAGGCCUCAACACAGGUUUAUGUCUAUGCAGUAUCUGUGUGAAAUUGUACCACUUUGAUGCACUCACGAUCAAUACCUAGAUCAGUGGCUGAUCCUGUGAAAAUGUGUGGACCCUAGACAUAGGUCAGCCCAGUGCACUGUUAGCCCAUGAAUCUCCUCAGCACAACAAUUUGAUGAGGCUGUGAUCUUGGAAAGGUACAAAAAGAGAUGGGCUAUUUCAGAUGGAUCACAAGGAAAGCCUGAAUUAUAAAGAAAACCACUUCAUCUGCUGCAUCAGUAUUGCUUCGCAGAGGACAAGGCUUGUUGGAUGCGC